GACGAACGCUGGCGGCGUGCCUAAUACAUGCAAGUCGAGCGAACAGACGAGGAGCUUGCUCCUCUGACGUUAGCGGCGGACGGGUGAGUAACACGUGGAUAACCUACCUAUAAGACUGGGAUAACUUCGGGAAACCGGCGCUAAUACCGGAUAAUAUAUUGAACCGCAUGGUUCAAUAGUGAAAGACGGCUUUGCUGUCAGUACUAGAUGGAUCCGCGCCGCAUUAGCUAGUUGGUAAGGUAACGGCUUAUCAAGGCGACGAUGCGUAGCCGACCUGUGGGGGUGGUCGGCCACAUUGGAACUGGGACGCGGUCCAGGCGCCUGCGGGAGGCAGCAGUAGGCAAUCGUCCGCAGAAGGCGGAAGCCUUACGGAGCGGCGCCACGUGAGUUAUGGAGAUCUUCCGAUCGUAAUACUCUGUUAUUAGGGAAAAACAAAUGUGUAAGUAACUAUGCACGUCUUGACGGUACCUAGUCAGAAAGCCACGGCUAACUACGUG
rnacentral:rRNA from 1 species